rnacentral:lncRNA from 1 species
GAAAAUCAUUUUAAAACCUUGUGUUACUUAAGUCAUUAUGGAAUGUGGGAUGGUAGAGUAUGAGUUUCUUAUUCUUGAUAUCAUUGUUGCUUGGAGAAUUUAUUCAAAAUUCCAGCUACCAUCCUCAGUGUUUUAUAUGCCUACUAAAACUGAAAAUAUUAAUUAUGAUUAUAAAAGCUAUCUACUCUGUAUUGAGUUUGUUCAAAAUGAGUUAGACCCUUGUUGAGAGAUUUAUCAUGCUCCUAAGAUCAAGACAUCUAUUCAGAAAGAUUCACUCUUCCGAAGUAUUAUUGCAUUAGAGGCAUCGGCUAUGCAAAAAUAAAGAUAUUUCGAGGAAAUAAAAAGGAGCAAGUGCUCGAUAACCUCGCAGAAAAAAUGGACAAGUGUCCGGCAGUAGAAUUAGGGGUACCUCGGUAUCCACUUAAAAAAAGAAGAAGAAAAAGAAAAAGAUAGCCCAUGGUCCCUCUAAUAAGCAAUAUGCCAACAAGAGUCGACAAAGAUUUUAAUUUCCAAAGUCUUUGAUCUAAGAGUAUGACAUUCCCCUCCUCAGAUCCUGUUUUGAUCAGGCAAUAAAUACAAAGUAAGUAUGCUUGAGAAUUUUUGCAAAUUAAAACAGCCUCAGUA